GCGCCACCAGGAGCGUCGGGAUCUCUGCGCGUGAGCGUUGCCAGUGCUGGGCGAGGCCGAGGCGCGCUUUGAGCGGCGCGAUGGAGUCUACGGUGGAAGAGUUGAUGCCCCGCCUCUUACCUGUAGAGGAUUGCGACCUCGCGGAAGACUUCGACCCUACGGUACCCCCACGAACCCCCCAAGAGUAUUUAAAGCGGGUCCAGAUUGAAGCUGCAAAAUGUCCUGAUGUUGUUGUGGCCCAGAUUGAUCCCAAGAAACUGAAAAAGAAGCAGACUCUAAAUAUUUCACUUUCAGGGUGUCAACCUGCUCCUGAAGGAUACUCUCCAACACUGAAAUGGCAACAGCAACAAGUGUCUCAUUUUUCAACCAUACGCCAGAGUGUGAACAAGCACAGGGAUCACUGGAAAGCACAACAUUUGGACAGCAAUGUAACAAUGCCCACAACAGAUGAUGAGGAAGGUUGGAAAAAAUUCUGCUUAGGUGAAAAGUUGUAUUUAGAAUUAACAGAUCAAAUCUCAAGUGAUGAAAGUCCAGGAAUUGAUUAUGUACAGAUUGGCUUUCCUCCAUUGCUGAGCAUUGUUAGCAGAAUGAAUCAGGCAACAGUGACCAGUGUCUUAGAAUACUUGACAAACUGGCUGGUGGAAAAAGAAUUUACUCCAGAACUGAUGGCUUUAUGCUUUGUUAGCUUGUCUGGAGAAACCAUUAUUACCAGAGGCUCACUCUCUAAUUCGACAACUGGCUAGGAAAUGCUCUGAAGUGAGAGUUCUGGAGGAGAACAAGAAUGAUGAAAAAGUAUCUGCUCUAAACUUGUUGAUUUGUUUGGUUGGAAGGUAUUUUGACCAAUAUGACCUGGCUGACGAGGCAUCCUGAUAAACAUCUGAAAACUAUACAUGCACAAGUUGUUAAUCUUUCACAGGCAGGCAGGCAGUACUUUCAGAUUGAAGUAUGAAGAAUGGAU